UUAGUGCUGCAGCUAACGCAUUAAGCACUCCGCCUGGGGAGUACGACCGCAAGGUUGAAACUCAAAGGAAUUGACGGGGGCCCGCACAAGCGGUGGAGCAUGUGGUUUAAUUCGAAGCAACGCGAAGAACCUUACCAGGUCUUGACAUCCUUUGACCACUCUGGAGACAGAGCUUUCCCUUCGGGGACAAAGUGACAGGUGGUGCAUGGUUGUCGUCAGCUCGUGUCGUGAGAUGUUGGGUUAAGUCCCGCAACGAGCGCAACCCUUGAUUUUAGUUGCCAGCAUUUAGUUGGGCACUCUAAAGUGACUGCCGGUGCAAGCCGGAGGAAGGUGGGGAUGACGUCAAAUCAUCAUGCCCCUUAUGACCUGGGCUACACACGUGCUACAAUGGAUAGUACAAAGGGUCGCGAAGCCGCGAGGUGGAGCUAAUCCCAUAAAACUAUUCUCAGUUCGGAUUGUAGGCUGCAACUCGCCUACAUGAAGCCGGAAUCGCUAGUAAUCGUGGAUCAGCAUGCCACGGUGAAUACGUUCCCGGGCCUUGUACACACCGCCCGUCACACCACGAGAGUUUGUAACACCCGAAGUCGGUAGGGUAACCUUUAUGGAGCCAGCCGCCGAAGGUGGGACAGAUAAUUGGGGUGAAGUCGUAACAAGGUAGCCGUAUCGGAAGGUGCGGCUGGAUCACCUCCUUUCUAAGGAA
rnacentral:rRNA from 1 species